rnacentral:lncRNA from 1 species
CUUGCAUCACCCCCAUCUGGGCGCCACCAGCCUUCUCAUCAAAUCCUCCAGCCAUCUGGGCAGCAAAGUUCUACAAAUCAACCCAACAACAUUAGGAGCUUGUGAGGCCCCAGAUUGUUCCCUCUCAACAAGGAAUUCGAUGCCCAGCAAAAGACUAAAAUCAACAGCCCUAAGAUAUUUCAGCAAGGGAAAGAGUAAGCGUCUGCAAGCCACCUACGUAUUUAAAACAUAGCAAACAUCAAAAGGGCAAACCUGCAAAAACUGGACAAUAAUGUAAUCUGUUGGCUGGCUGGAUUCCAAAACUGACUUUAACCACACACCUUUGCUCAGUGGGGCUCUUUCAUGAGAAUGAAUAGUUGCUUGGAAUGUACCUGGCAAGGACCAGGUUUAAAUGUCUUCCAAGGACAGUGGUCACUCUUCUUCCAGGGAACUACAAGUGCCCAGUCAUCCCGUCCCUCAGCCCCCACACCCACGCCCAGGAAUCAACCGCACAGGACAGACGCCUGGGAGCCAGGCUCAGGGAAAAGCCCAUGGACAGGCUGUGUACACACUACUGGCAGCCCUGGGAGCCAGCCAGAUUAUGUCGUCGCAGAGGACAGUCCCAGUGUCACAGACACAGAUUCGGCAGGGCUCGGGCUUCCACACAUCCUUAUCAUUAUACCUCUGCCCGUCCUGCACACAGCUGCCAGCCUUCUCUGCACCAAGGGCAGGGCAGGGGAAGCAGAGAGCAAAGGGAAGGAGGGGGUCGGGGGCCAGAAGAGAAAAAGAGAAAGAGGU